AGCAGCCGCGGUAAUUCCAGCCCCAAUAGCGUAUAUUAAAGUUGUUGCAGUUAAAAAGCUCGUAGUUGAAUUUCGGGAUUCUACCGUUGGUCGGACUAACAAGUCUGUACUGGUGUGUAGAAUUUCUACCUUCUGGGGAACUAUCAUGUUAUUAAUUUAGCGUGGUGGGAAACCAGGACCUUUACCUUGAAAAAAUUAGAGUGUUCAAAGCAGGCUUACGUCUGAAUACAUUAGCAUGGAAUAAUAGAAUAGGACGG
rnacentral:rRNA from 1 species